CUUAAGAUUAAGCCAUGCAUGUCUAAGUAUAAGCAAUUAUACCGCGAAACUGCGAAUGGCUCAUUAUAUAAGUUAUCGUUUAUUUGAUAAUACUUUACUACUUGGAUAACCGUGGUAAUUCUAGAGCUAAUACAUGCUAAAAAUCCCGACUUCGGAAGGGUUGUAUUUAUUAGAUUAAAAACCAAUGCCCCUCGGGGCUCUCUGGUGAAUCAUGAUAACUAGUCGAAUCGACAGGCCUUGUGCCGGCGAUGGCUCAUUCAAAUUUCUGCCCUAUCAACUUUCGAUGGUAGGAUAGUGGCCUACCAUGGUGGCAACGGGUAACGGGGAAUUAGGGUUCGAUUCCGGAGAGGGAGCCUGAGAAACGGCUACCACAUCCAAGGAAGGCAGCAGGCGCGCAAAUUACCCAAUCCCGAUACGGGGAGGUAGUGACAAUAAAUACUGAUACGGGGCUCUUUUGGGUCUCGUAAUUGGAAUGAGAACAAUUUAAAUCCCUUAACGAGGAACAAUUGGAGGGCAAGUC
rnacentral:rRNA from 1 species